rnacentral:rRNA from 1 species
UACAGGGGGUGCAAACGUUGCUCGGAAUCAUUGGGCGUAAAGGGCGCGUAGGCGGAUAUCUAAGUUGGGGGUGAAAUCCCGGGGCUCAACCUCGGAAUUGCCUUCAAAACUGGGUAUCUUGAGUUCGGGAGAGGUGAGUGGAACUCCGAGUGUAGAGGUGAAAUUCGUAGAUAUUCGGAAGAACACCAGUGGCGAAGGCGACUCACUGGCCCGAUACUGACGCUGAGGCGCGAAAGCGUGGGGAGCAAACAGGG